rnacentral:rRNA from 1 species
AACGAACGCUAUCGGUAUGCUUAACACAUGCAAGUCGGACGGACUAAUUAGGGCUUGCUCCAAUUAGUUAGUGGCAGACGGGUGAGUAACACGUGGGAAUCUGCCCAUCAGUACGGAAUAACUUUUAGAAAUAAAAGCUAAUACCGUAUAUUCUCUACAGAGGAAAGAUUUAUCGCUGAUGGAUGAGCCCGCGUCAGAUUAGUUAGUGGGUGAGGUAACGGCUCACCAAGCCGACGACCUGUAGCUGGUCUGAGAGGAGGAUCAGCCACACUGGGACUGAGACACGGCCCAGACUCCUACGGGAGGCAGCAGUGGGGAAUAUUGGACAAUGGGCGAAAGCCUGAUCCAGCAAUACCGAGGGAGUGAUAAAGGCCCUAGGGUUGUAAAGCUCUUUUAGCAAGGAAGAUAAUGACGGUACUUGCAGAAAAAGCCCCGGCUAACUCCGUG